rnacentral:rRNA from 1 species
GACGAACGCUGGCGGCGUGCUUAACACAUGCAAGUCGAACGGAAAGGCCCUGCUUUUGUUGGGUGCUCGAGUGGCGAACGGGUGAGUAACACGUGAGUAACCUGCCCUUGACUUUGGGAUAACUUCAGGAAACUUGGGCUAAUACCGGAUAGGAGCUCCUGCUGCAUGGUGGGGGUUGGAAAGUUUCGGCGGUUGGGGAUGGACUCGCGGCUUAUCAGCUUGUUGGUGGGGUAGUGGCUUACCAAGGCUUUGACGGGUAGCCGGCCUGAGAGGGUGACCGGCCACAUUGGGACUGAGAUACGGCGCAGACUCCUACGGGAGGCAGGAGUGGGGAAUAUUGCACAAUGGGCGGAAGCCUGAUGCAGCAACGCCGCGUGCGGGAUGACGGCCUUCGGGUUGUAAACCGCUUUCGCCUGUGACGAAGCGUGAGUGACGGUAAUGGGUAAAGAAGCACCGGCUAACUACGUG